GGUCAAGUUACAAAGGGUUUACGAUGGCUGACUUGGCAGACUCAGGCGAUGAAGGACGCGAUAAGCUGCGAUAAGCUUCGGGGAGCUGCAAUGAAGCUUUGAUCCGGAGAUUUCCGAAUGGGGGAACCCAACUGGACUAACCUCCAGUUAUCUUACUCUGAAUACAUAGGAGAUAGAUGCUAACGUGGUGAAUUGAAACAUCUUAGUAGCCACAGGAAAAGAAAACAAAUGUGAUUCCCUUAGUAGCGGCGAGCGAAAUGGGAUGAGGCUAAACUCUAGUGCAUGCAUUAGAGGGUUGCGGGACCUCAACGUAGGAUUGUAAAAGAAUAGCAAAAGCGUCUGGAAAGGCGCACCAUAGCAGGUGAAAGUCCUUUUUGCGAAAUUCUUGAGCACCUUAGAGGUAUCCCAAGUAAUACGGGGCACGAGAAAUCCCGUGUGAAUCUGUGCCGACCAUGGCAUAAGCCUAAAUACUCGAGUCUGACCGAAAGCGUACAAGUACCGUGAGGGAAAGUUGAAAAGAACCCCGGGAGGGGAGUGAAAUAGAACCUAAAAUCGUAAACUUACAAAGCGGUCGAAGGCCUAUGCAUAUCGCAAGAUAUGAACGGCUGACGGCGUACCUUUUGCAUAAUGGACCAACUAGUUGCUAGGCGUUGCAAGCUUAAGUCCUUAUAGGACGGAGGCGUAGGGAAACCGAGUGUGAAUAGCGCGAAUCAGUAACGUUUAGCAGACGCGAAACCACGUGAUCUAUCCAUGGCCAGAAUGAAGCUCUAAGAAAUUAGAGUGGAGGUUCGAACACACGUUAGUUGAAAAUAACGGUGAUGAGCUGUGGAUCGGAGUGAAAGGCUAAUCAAACGUGGAAAUAGCUCGUUCUCCCCGAAAUAGUUUUAGGACUAGCCUCGAUUAAAUUCAUAAUCAGGGGUAGAGUUACUGAAUAGGAUAGGGGGUUUACCAACCUACCAAACCUAACCAAACUCCGAAUACUGAUUAUGUUACAUCGGGAGUAAGACAGCGAGGGCUAAGCUCCGUUGUCUAAAGGGAAACAGCCCAGACCAUCUGCUAAGGUCCCUAAUACAUGCUAAGUGGUAAAGGAAGUGAGAUCACAUUAACAGCCAGGAUGUUGGCUUAGAGGCAGCCAUCAUUUAAAGAGUGCGUAAUAGCUCACUGGUCGAGUGGUCUUGCGCCGAAAAUGAUCGGGGCUCAAGCAUGUAACCGAAGCAGUGGAUUCCGCCGCAAGGCGAGAGUGGUAGGGGAGCGUAGUGUCAUGCGUUGAAGGCGUACCGUAAGGAGCGCUGGAGUAGACACUAGUGAUACUGUUGGUAUAAGUAGCGAAAACUACAGCGAGAAACUGUAGCACCGAAAAUCCAAGGUUUCCUGGGGAAGGUUAAUCCUCCCAGGGUUAGUCGAUCCUAAGGCGAGGCUGAAAAGCGUAGUCGAUGGACAUCCGGUUAAUAUUCCGGAACUGGCUAUGAACGUUAUUAUCUUAAUGUGACGCGGAAGGUUAGCUGAUCGGACUGUUGGAAUAGUCCGUCCAAACCCGUAGCCGUGCAGUAAUGUACGGGGAGAGGUGAUGGGGAGCUGCGAUUAUAUCAAAGCGAAGUUAGUGAUACCAGGCUGCCGAGAAAAACCAUUAAGAGAGUAUCAUGGUCAAUCGUACCGUAAUCCGACACAGGUAGAUAACCAGAAUAUGGUAAGGUGCUCGAGAUAUCCGUCCCUAAGGAACUAGGCAAAGUGGCUCCGUAACUUCGGAAGAAGGAGUGCCGGAUUGGUCAGGCCCCUCGCGGGCGCAGCCAUGAAGGUCACAGUAAAGAGGCUUGGGUGACUGUUUAGUAAAAACACAUCACUGUGCAAAGUCGCAAGACGACGUAUACGGUGUGACACCUGCCCGGUGCUGGAAGGUUAAGGGAAAAGGUUAGCCGCAAGGCGAAGCUUUGAACCGAAGCCCCAGUAAACGGCGGCCGUAACUAUAACGGUCCUAAGGUAGCG
rnacentral:rRNA from 1 species